ACCAAAAUCUGUUGACAUAUACUGUGUCCACAAAAUUUACGUAAAUAUUUACUUGCAACUGUUUAUCAAACCGUACUUCACGGAUUGCUAAAAAGUUGUUUUAAUACGGAUAAGAUCCCAUAAUCGUGUAGGCUCGAAAACAUCUUUUUCACAUUUGUGUGGAAAACUUCUUACUUAUUUAUUCUGAAGCUACAGUAAUUUUCAAACUAUAUCUACUUGUGCCUCAGGUUAUUUAGGACAGACGAGCGAGGCGUCAUCUCAACCUGUUGUCAAACCUGGAGACAAGCAGGGCACGCAUACCGAAAAAGAUGGGAGAAAGGGGGAGACGGGGGCAGACGUGAAGGUUGAAACAGAAAAUUCAAAACAGCCCGAUCCUCCGGAGGGAACAGGAUCCGUCAGACGGAUGUCGAAACUUGAGGAGGAUUUUCUGUACUCCACAAUUAGUUAGAAACACAUUAAUUUCAUUGUACGUGAAAUUUGCAUAAAAGUUAUACAUGAAAAAUAUUUAGUUUUUGGUGUCAAGAUGUAAGCAAAUGUGCAGACUUAAAAUAAAAUAUUUUAACGGUAUUACUCAAAUUAUUCACAUACUGUGAAUAAAGUCGAGCAAAAUUCCGACUAAUUGUAAGAAAACUAUUGUGUCAAAUUUACUUAUGGUAAACCAUAA